GACGAACGCUGGCGGCGUGCCUAAUACAUGCAAGUAGAACGCACAGUUUAUACCGUAGCUUGCUACACCAUAGACUGUGAGUUGCGAACGGGUGAGUAACGCGUAGGUAACCUGCCUGGUAGCGGGGGAUAACUAUUGGAAACGAUAGCUAAUACCGCAUAAUAUUGAUUAUUGCAUGAUAAUUGAUUGAAAGAUGCUAUUGCAUCACUACCAGAUGGACCUGCGUUGUAUUAGCUAGUAGGUGAGGUAACGGCUCACCUAGGCGACGAUACAUAGCCGACCUGAGAGGGUGAUCGGCCACACUGGGACUGAGACACGGCCCAGACGCCUACGGGAGGCAGCAGUAGGGAAUCUUCGGCAAUGGACGAAAGUCUGACCGAGCAACGCCGCGUGAGUGAAGAAGGUUUUCGGAUCGUAAAGCUCUGUUGUAUGAGAAGAACGGGUGUGAGAGUGGAAAGUUCACACUGUGACGGUAUCUUACCAGAAAGGGACGGCUAACUACGUG
rnacentral:rRNA from 1 species